rnacentral:rRNA from 1 species
UGGACAGCGUGGGCUAGCGCGCGCGGUAGAACGUAGGGGGAGAGCGGUAAUCGGAAUUACGGGGAGUAAAGCGUGCGCAGGCGGUGCUGUAAGGCAGAUGUGAAAUCCCCGGGCUCAACCUGGGAACUGCGUUUGUGACUGCAUCACUCGAGUACGGCAGAGGGAGGUGGAAGUCCACGUGUAGCAGUGAAAUGCGUAGAGAUGUGGAGGAACACCGAUGGCGAAGGCAGCCUCCUGGGCCAGUACUGACGCUCAUGCACGAAAGCGUGGGGAGCAAACAGGAUUAGAUACCCGAGAGUC